rnacentral:lncRNA from 1 species
AUCACAUUAAGUGAUUUCCUUAAGGUCCCACAACCACUUUUGGAUAAAGUCAGGAAUGACAGAAAUUCUUAUUGCCAAAUUGGCUUUUCCCCCCCAGUGCCAAGGGUUGAAUGUAUUUUUUAAAAAAUCCAACGUAGGAUCUGGGUAUAUUGAAGAGCACAUCAUGACCUUCUGAAAUGCAAGAGCUGCGUAAAGUGACGGAGCGGGUAUUCCUCAAGAUUGCUGUGAAGCUUGAAGAGAAAUCUGCAAGCUGCGAUCUGCUCAUUGAGGUUGGUCCUAGGGGUGCUCUAGUUUUGAGGGCAUCAAGGGCUUGUUAUCCAAUCAAUGACUUACCCCCCCCCCCCAUGCUUGGACAGAUGCACGAAGAGGGGAUUGAGGUCUUAUUUUGGGAGAGAGUUGUAGAGCAGAUACUCAGAACUGUCUUUUCCUCCAGUCUCAUCAUGGGAGGUGUCUGUCCCCGUGGUCAUUCCCUUUUCAGAAGUCCUCUUUAUGUCCCAAACCACCUCUCUUAGGAAUGCCGUGGGACUCCUAAAUGACACGUCAUCUGCCAAUGGGUUCCUAUUCUUUUUUGAGCCACAUCCCCAGCCCUUUUAAUUUUUUAUUUUGAGUCAGAGUCUUGCUAAGUUGCUCAGAGUCUUGCUAAAUUGCUAAGGCUGGCUUUGAAUUGAGAUCCUCCUGCCUCAGCCUCUUUAGCUGCUGGAAUUAUAUGUGUGUGCCACCGUGCCUGGCUUGGGUGCCUGUAGCCCUCUAAAUGUUGACUACAUAAAGCAAACCAGCUCUUCAAACCCCCGAGUCUACCACAGGAAAAUGCCAGAAGCCUGUGUUGGUGGUGGCUCGCUGACUCUUAUGAACCUGUGGUUUCCUUUUUGAACUUGCAUUUCUACAUUUUCUUAUAAUGUUUCUCCUCCUGUCCUUCCAAUUAUUUUACUUUCAAAGAACAUCAGAUUCAUUUCUUUUCCAAAAUAAUGGGAGGAACUUGCCAGGUAAGCAAUAAAAAAUAUUUUCUGGGAAUGAAUAAUUCUGAUUGUUUCUAGGAGGACCAGGGGAAUAAAAUAAAAUGAUAAAAGAGCAACUGGGAAGCUAGUGUAAAAUUUUAUGUAAAUCUGAAAGGAACCUUUAUCUUUCAAAAUUGUAAGUUAAGAAUAAACUGGUUUUUGGCAUUGAAGAGCUUAAUAGUUCAGGUUACAUUUAAAUAAAUGCCUUGGGCAAUUUAUUGCUUUCAGUUUUAUAUUGAUGGGUGUUAUGUAAGCAUAAAAUGGAAGGCUAUAGAAGCAGAAUAGAAUGUGCUUCUUUUUCCAAAUAUCAUUCCGUGUCUCCUGAGAUAACAGGGAAAAUCAGGGUUAAUGUACAAGCUACUCUUGUUCUGGAAGUGUCUUUUAGAGAAUUGCCAUAUGGGUAACACUUCAAACGUUCUUCCUUAAGUAUUUUAAGAAAUAGAACUUAGUAAUGUUAUUUUGCUGGUGAGAUUUUUUUUUUAAAGCACAGAAACAAAAUACUUAAAGGGGAAAUGUAGCAGAGGGUGACAGAGCUAUUUUAAUUUUUUCCUUUUUAGUACUGAGGAUAGAACCCAGGGCUUCACAUAUCCUAGGUAAGUCCUCCAGCACUAAACUGCAUCCCUAGCCAUUUUUUUUUUUUUAAGUUUUGAGACAGUCUAAAUUCCCUGAGCGGGCCUUGAACUUCCCAUCCUCCUGCUUCAGCCUCCUGAGUAACACAGAAAUAAGUUUUGAGAAUUUGUAAAUUAUCAGUAGAUUGAAGUUGGCAAUAAAUAAAUAAAUAAAUAAAUAAAUAAAUAAAUAAAUAAAUAAAAUAAAUCAUGGUCUAUUAACAAUGAAUGGAAUUCUUUCUCACAUUUUUAGAUCUCUCGCUUACUCAAAAUGUAUAUUCUCUCUUAUGUUAUGCUAGAUGCACCCAAUUUAUCGGAAAAUCUCAAGAGAGUACAAGCUGAAAAUAGCUGUGUUAUUUUUUUCUCCUCUGCUUCUUUGAACUGGGUUUCUCAACUUGUUCUUCCCUGCUCCUGAAUACAAUCCUAGGUGGGUCCUGUAACUACCCAGUCAGCUCUCAUAAGGGCAUGGUUAUGGUUUGGAUGUGAGGGGCCCCCCAAAAGCUCAUGUGUGAGACAGUGCAGAAGAUUCAGAGGAGAAACGACCCAAUCAGUGAUUCAAUCCCCUGUAGGGAUUAACUGAAGUGGUAGGGUGUGGCUGGAGGAGGUGGGGACUGAGGCAUGGCUUUGGGUAUACAUUUGUACUUGGCGAGUGGACUCUCUCUGCUUGUUCAUCACCAUGAAAGCCACUUCUCUCUGCCACACUCUUCUGCCAUGUUGUUCCUGUCUCACUUUGAGCCCCGAGGAAUGGAGCCGGCUGUCUAUGAAACAAGUCCUAUUCCAUGCAAAAACUCCUCCAGUGCAUCUCUGUUCCAGAUGGCCUUGGCUCCCAGGUAGAAGUCUGAGGUGAGGUGGGUUUGGGUGGGAGAGAGCUUCACCCUGCUUUUUUCUUCCUCAUUCCCUCUAGGCUCACCAGCCAGCACUGGUCUCCCCUGGGGUGCAGGCUGGGGAAGGAAGAAGGCGGGGCCAUGAGAAUUCCUGCUGUACUUACAGGUGGAGUGCAAUGUCGGGGCCUCCAGGUAACAGAUCAAAUGCUGACUUUCAUUUUUGUGGGCUCCAUUGGCUCUAGGAAUCUCUCACCUCCCCUUAUCCUUGCUGUGGGACAGUGUGGUUCCAGGUGGUUGUCCAUGAGCAGCUGUUGGUCCUUAUCUCCUGGAGGCCUACUCUGAUCACCUGGCCUCUCUGAUUGCCCUCCUGGAAGGAGAUGCUCACAAGGUGACCCAGCCCAGCUCCCUUCUAUAGGGUUCUUCUCUGCUCCAUGGGAAACUCAGGCAUCCAGAGCCCACCAGAAUUUAAAAAUGCAAGUUAUUGCCACACAGCCACCUCCCCUUCCUCACAAGAGCGGAAGAGGAGCCCCUGCAUUCCUCCAACUCCAGGGCCUGAGACAAGUGCUGGGGGUGGUUCCCUUGUAGCCUUUUAAAUCAUCAACUUAUCUCAGAUGACUCAGGAAAAUGUUCUUUGUUUUAUACUAGUAAGCUUCUUUUGAAAUCAUUUCAAAAUUUAAAAAGAUGCAUAUUUAUACGAUACAUACAUAAAUACAUAUUUUGAAAAUGUAUUUAUGUACAAAUAUGGGGAUGUAUAUCAUACUAUGCAAACCCUAUAGCCUGACUUUUCCACUUAACAGUAUGUCACAAUAUCUCACCAUGUUAAUCUAUGCAAUCUGCAUAAUCAUUUUUAAAAGCAAAUAGAGUUCAUUGUAGGGCUAAGUCACAAUUUAAUCAACCAAGCUUCUCUUCUUGCAGUUUUAGAUCACUGCUAUUCUUUUAAUAGAAUAAUGCUGUAAAGAAAAAAAAUAGCAUUGGACAAAGACAGCAUUAUUGCACAUAAUGAAAUUCAGGUGUUUGGUUUCUGUGCAAAUUCACCAAACUAUAAGGAAGCCCUUUGCGUACUGUCAGUCACGGACUGUGGCUCUGUGAGAGCUACAGGGAUUGAUUUGCCCUGCCUCGAGUUCUUUCUGACUAGGUUCACUAACUUUGGAAGUGACAUCUGGACACCGUGAAUUUUCUCCCACUUACGAACCUAACACAGAAGUCCUUUAAACAGUGUCAGGGUGCAUUAGAUCAAGAACACAGUCACUGGGCCCAUGAUAGGAACGUGGCUGAUGCCCCUCGGUUCUAACAAGGAGACAGAAAUGACAAGAGACAUGGAGCCGGGACGUGCACUCAGCUUUCUUCUACUGUAUAAAUGAGAUUGAUCUAAUUGUUAUGUGCAUUUACAAAUAGGGGAUGUGUGUAACUAUAAUCCACUAAUUAAAAAUACAUAGUGUAUAAUAUUUUAGGCAAAUCUUCUCAGACACCCGUAUACAAUGACAGAGGUGCUGAGUCCCAAAGAGGCUGACGUGUAGCUUAGGUGGUGGCUUAUGGGUUCAAAGCCUUUUUACUUUUAUUAUUUAGUGUGUUUCUUACAAACUCCUGGAGAAACCAUCAGGGAAGAGCUGACUGUUUCCAUUUCACUGAUCACGGAGGCGAGAAUGCAGACUGAGUGAUGCUCAAAGGAGCUGAGACCCCGGCUGAGGUUUGUGGCAUCUCGUCUGCCCCACGUUCUGGAUGCCCGGGCCUCCCCCACCCCACACCCCCCAAGCUCUUCUUCCCAUCUGGCGCCAGGGUCUACCCAGCUUUUCAACAACUCUGUCCUCUUUUCCAGUCACUCCUGUCACAUGCAUCAGCAUGCCCUGCCCUUUCUACUUUCAAACCAUGUCCCGAAUCUGUUCUCUUCUCUCCUUCUCCACGGCGCACAUCCCUGUCCAAGCGAGUGUCUCCCGUCACCCGGAUGCCCCCCUGCCACUCUUCCAUCCCUGUGCUUUAUUCUCCACCCCGAAGCCAAGUGACAUCCUCAAAACACACACUGAACUCUGUUCCUUCACUGCUCUGCGCACUUGAAUUGCCCUUUGCAGGAGCCCAGAUGCUUCAUCGAAGUCGCCAACACACAAAGCCCCACGGGCCCCGCCUCUGUCCAUCUCUGACCUUCCCUCCCACCAACCCUCACCUGCUCAGAGUGUCACAGGGGUGCUCAGCUCUCAGUUCCUGGAACCUACAGCUUGCUGCUCUUCUAGGGCCUCCCGCAAACUCAUGCCCAGUCUUUCUGCCGACUGCUCCUCCUUGUCAUCCGGGUAUCCUCUUGAACACUGCCCUCCCUGAGCUCCCCACCUGAAGGAGACCUUGUCAUCCUCCUCCUGGUGGCCCUGUUCCUCUCAUCCUGGUAUCCCCUCUGUUUGUUGGUUCAAUGUUUAUCUCAGUUCACCGAAUACCAUCCCAUUGAUUUAGCAAGUGCUCAGUGUUUUAGCAAUAUGAACUUUUUAAAAUCUUCAUAAUGACCUUAUAACACUUUUGUUAAGAUGAGGAAACAGAGGAACAAAAACUUCCUCAAGGUCACCCUGUUCACAAGUGGCAAAACCAAGAUUUGAAUUCAAGCAGGUAGGCUUGAGAGCCCUUGCUUUGGAAUGGGUCAUUUCUUUCAGUUUCAAUGGUGAAGGUCCACCAUGUAGAGUAACCCCUGGUACAAAGCAGGCGCUCAGUAAAUGAUGAACAGCAGUGAUUUUGUGGUUUCUAGGGACACCCUGGCACUGGAUCUCCAUUGAGUUUAUCUUGAGUGUACCCCAUUAUCUAUUGGAUCCUGGGAUCCUUGGUAUAAUCCCAGGAAAUAGCCUGGUAACAUUUUUUUUUAGAUAUUUUAAUCUAACUUUGUCUUCAACUAGAGUGAUAUUUGAAAUUAAAGCUAUCAUCUGUCUGAAAUCUACACAGUCGUAAAGAAGAUUUACGUGGUGAUAUCUAAUCUCUGUAGUACUUUUCAUUUGCCUCUUCUUGUUAGCAAUAGUGCGAGGAAAGAAAUCAUUCCAAACUCCUGGAGAUUAGGUGAGACUGAAGCAGCAAUCGCUAGCUCAGCAGGCUAAUGUAAUAGCUUUUCAGUCACAGUUGGCUCUGGAGGAGAGCAACCACAUGCUAUGAAUUUGCUUGUGUCAGUAACUCACCAGGGAAUAUUUAUCUGUAUCAGGAAGACUGAUUUUGAAUUGAUAAAGAGUUGGAUCUUACUGAGAAUAUCCAGUUAUGGAGUUUUAAAAAUAAAAUGAGGUGAGAGAAGUGAGAUCUUAUGACCCAGCCAGGAGGAGUCAAAUCAAUCAAAUAAUGGUGAUCUUUUUUAAAAAUCAGACUGAGGUUAUAGCUCAGCAGUAGGGUGUGUGCCUAGCAUGAGUGAGACACUGGGUUCCAACCUCCCCACUGGGGAAAAAAAAAAGAAUUUCCCCUUAUUCCUCUCCAGCCCACCUUUCCCAGUUAGCCUAUGUUCUAGGUGCAUUCUCACCCUCAAAACUUAUCUAUCCCAUGAGUUUUACCUCAUGGAUUUAUUAAGUGAGUAGUUCUGGCAAUGGUCAUCUCAUGGUCUCACACCAAAGGCCCUGUCCCCUUGAUCCAAGUCCAUCCACUCCAUCCUCAUUUCUCUAUUUCCAUCACUGUCUGGAUUAUAAGCAACAUGGAGCUAGCCUAGUGCAUGGCUCCAGGCUUUGGUGGCCAACUGCCUUGAUUCAAAUCUUUGCUCUGCCACUUAGUUGAAGUGUAAACCUGGGCAAACGUACUUCAUCUUUCUGCAUGAUUGUUUCUUCAUCUAUAAAAUGAGGAUAAUUUAACACCUGUCUCAUAGGGUCUCUAGGCAGGUUUAUUAUAUCUGCAUGUAAAACACUCAAAUGCUUCUCAGCUCGAUAUAAGUAUUAUAUAUGUUUGCAUCAUUAUUACUCAAAACAGUAACAGUUUUUAAACUUCUCACAGUUUGCCCUCAGUAAAUGUGUGUUGGAUCCAAUCUCAUUGUUCUUCUCUUAGCAGUCUCAGAGGUUAAACUAUUAUUCAUCUCAACUAAUACUAUUCCACAAACUAUUUAACAGGCAUUUAAAAGAAAUUUGUACUACAAUAAUAAUUUUUGCAAUCAUAAAAUUUAAGCAUGUUGUAGAAUGAAUGAUUUUUUUCCCCCUAAUGAGGGAGAUGAAAUCAGUAGCCACCUUUUAAUAUAAUGGCUCAGUUUGAGGUGUAGAUCAGUGUAUACACCCAGAUGUGACCCAUUACCCCAAAGGCUAUCAGGAAUGGUGGUUCUCUUAACUGGUGCAGGAUGCUCAGAUCCAAGAUGAAUCCAGAAACAAUGAAUUGACUAAUCUCAUGCCAGCCCCACUCAGGUGAGUCUACAGGUACCAUCUGAUCUGCUGGUACAGGUAUGAGACUGUAAAAUUAAAUGUUUAUUGUUCAUGCUCUGAGAUCUUAGAAUUGUUUUGCAAAAUGAACACAGUAAAAACUUUCAAAUAUAGAAAUUGGUACUAAAAGUGUGACUUUGUCUAAAGUAUGUGGCAGAGGCGCUACGAUCUGAGAACCUGUGGCAAGGAAACAAUGUCAGACGUUGGAAAAAUGGUGAUCCAUGUUAGGUUGUAACAAAACAUUUAAUAAAAAUGUCACCUGUCAAAAUCUGGAGGGGAAAAAUAUAGCUACAUGAAGACACGUAGAAAUAUUUUGAGGUGGAAUUAAGUAGAGGAGCUCGUUGUCACAGAUAUGUAUAAUUAAAUACUAGAAGAAAAAGAAAAUGAGUCCAGGAGAGAACUAGUUGUUUUGAAACAGACAUAGGAAAUACAGAGAGGCCAGAAAUGUUGGAAGUUUUCAGCGCUAAAAAAUUAAACUGUCUUAUUCCUAACUGGCAAAAGAGAAAAUUGAGAAGUUAUUUGAGUUUAAAAGCCUACUAAGGCUCAACCUCCAGGAAGAGACCAAAUCAAACUUUUACAAGAUCAUCUGGAGGGUGUAAGAGGUACUAUUAGAUUACUUAUCCCUGUGGGAAACAAUUGGAAACUCAGAAGCCUGUUCAAAAUAACUGUUCAUAAGUAUAUUGCAUGUCUCAAAACAAGUUGUGGGUAUAUCUUUUAUUACAUAGAGUUGUCUAGAAUCAAAUACAAAAAGCCAACGUCUUUGAGUGAGCUGUCUUGCCCAAAGCAUCCGAGUCUUGUUUAUAAAACGUGACUGUUUAAGAUAUAAAAAAGAUCGCUGGGUCUUCAACUUUCUAAAGGCAGGAAGCAAGGUGAGAAAGCUGCCUAAUGGCAAUAAGGUAGGGUGACCAGUGUAUCCCAUUUGGCCUGGGACUUUGCUUAUCUUGGUACUGAAAGGUGUGCAAUCCAGAAAAGCUUAGACCCCGGCUUAUGAUGGCUGCUACCUUCAAGGAUGGCAUAUCUACCCUGCUCUCUAAGCGCAGCCAAGAAAGAUAAUGAAGAGGGAGGGGUUGCUGAGAGCAGUCAAGAGCUGUGGUGCAAACAGUGGCUAUGAGACUUAUUCCCAGGCAGAAGAAUCAAUGCUUAAUUUAGGAGCACUUACUGUCCCUUAGGAUAGGGAGACCUAAAGGGAUGUCAGAGCUGCCAUGGGCCCUUAACUGCUCAUGUCUUUUUUUUUUCUUUGAUAAUCCACCUUGUUUAAGAGAAAUGGUUUCAUUUGCUCCUCACUGAUGUGCCUGAAAAAUUUUAGGUUCCAUCUGGAAUUUCCCCAAAGAUCUCUUAGGAACUAAAUUACAGGUUGAGAUAAUGUAUAAAAAUGGGGCUUGUUUUAAUGGCAUGCAGUUAGCAAAGGUCUCAGUUUUCUCUAAGCAACAGUAGGGAAAUUUUUCAGGGGUGUAUCAAAAUAACUCCCUGGACCUGAAGGCCUGAUCCAUCCAGGUUCCCUUCAUAUUCAUGACUCACGCAAAAUUGCCUUAGAUUAGGCUAUUUUGGAGCAAUUUGACAGAAGUCAUCUCUGUCUGUGUUUGCACCAGCCAGCUAAAAGGUGUCUGAGUUGCUUCAUGUCCAGUCUGAUGCAUGAAGUCUGAUUUAAUCUGAUAUGGUUUGAGGGUAAGUAGCUGACACUGACUUCCUAAGAUGCUGAGAACAACGGAAACAGAAAAAAUAUUCAGGAUACAUUCUUGAAAAGGUGAUUCUGUUCCUAAUAUGUACUUGAGAGGUGUACAGCCUUUUCAGUGAGAUCUUAAAAGAAUAAUGUUAUUACCUAUCUUGGUAAUAGUGAAGAAGGUAGAAACAGAGAAGCUAAAGGGUCCUUUUGAUGGUCACCUUGCUCAUAUGGGUAAAACCAAUCAAGAUGUAAAAGAGAAAAUGCUACGUGGUCAUUAGACUUCAUUUUAUUUUCUUCCUCCUGGGAACAACAAUAACAAAAAAUGCAUGCUCCCCAGUUUCUUGUAUAGUUAGAUUUGGGGCAUGUUGUGGGGUUUAGACAAUAGCCAUAACCCCUGCAUCAUCUUGCAUCAUCUGCACACUUUGUCCCCCUCUUCCACAGCACCUUCCCUGGCAGCUACCCACCAAGUUUAAAUGACCACACCACAAGAUGGAAGGAGCUUGGAUCCCUGAGUCAUUGUCUGGAAGAGAGCCCCCAAAGAAGAGCUUCCUCACCUUCAAUGGACUGUGAUGCAAAAGGAAUAGAAACCUGUCGGAUGAUUAAGCUGCGAAGGUUUGGAGAUUGUUACUGCAACCAGCAUUUAGUGCAUGAGUAAUAAUAAGGGAAUGAAAACGGAGACUCCACCAUGCAACUUUUCUCUUACCUCAGAUCCAGCAACUAGUUUAAAAUGACCUCCCUUUGCUGGCAUCAGGAUUUCCUGUACACGCUUUAUGGAUGGGCCUGGCAGCUCUUGGCUUGAAGUUGGAUAAGGAAGAGGUUGAAAGUCACAUCACACAAUGCUGUUGUUCAGAGGGGGUACCAAAAUUGAGCAGCAGGGGUCAAGAAUAUGAAAACAUUUACAUACAAGAAUUUUUAAAAGACAAGAACAACAACAAUAAGGAAGUGUCCCGGACCUUUCACUCUUCUAGGUUUCAAGAUAGCUAUUAAUAGUCCCCCCUUAUCCAUGGUUUUGCUUUCCACAGUUCAAUAACCUGUGAUCAAUCACAGGUAAGAAGAAGAGGGGCAAGUACAAUAAGAUAUAUAUUUUGAUGGAGAAAGAGAGAAGAGAGACUAUAUUCACAUAACUUUUAUUAUAUUUACUAUUAUAUUUGUUCUAUUUUAUUAUUAAUUAUUGUUGAUCUCCAUGCCUAGUUUAUAAAUUUAACUCCAUCAUAGGCAUGGAUGUAUAAGAAAAAACUUUCACACACACACACAUGCACAUACAUACACACACAUACAUAUAAGGUUUAGCACUAGCUAUGGUUUCAGGGGUCUUGGAGGGUAUCCUCUGCAGACAGAUUUUUAGGGAGUCUGCUGUAUUUGCCUCCUGUUCCCAGGAGAUAUCCCUCCCCAUUCCUGUUACUGUUCUUUGCUAUUUCCCAGAGGACCCAUUCACAAAGUAUGAUGCUUUCUUGGAAAUAAAUAUUAAACAUGGGAAAGUUAA